UGGCUGAGUGAUUGGCUGAUCCCAUAGUGCUGAAGCUGCUGAAAACAUGAAGGCACUUUAAAGGAUCCAGUAGUUGAUCAGAGAGAUCACUCACAUUUCUUUGAGGAUGUUCAAACUCACUGACACAAUCACACAUAAACAUUGAGCAUCUUUAUAAGGAAUUAAUUUGGGUUCUAAACAGGAUGGAUUGCAGUGAAGAGCUCCCUGUAAUCUCUCUUUAACCAUUUCCAUAUGACAACUGCUUUGGAUCCCCA